CACGUAGGGCGCAAGCGUUGUCCGGAAUUAUUGGGCGUAAAGAGCUCGUAGGCGGUUUGUCGCGUCUGCUGUGAAAACUGGAGGCUCAACCUCCAGCCUGCAGUGGGUACGGGCAGACUCGAGUGCGGUAGGGGAGAUUGGAAUUCCUGGUGUAGCGGUGGAAUGCGCAGAUAUCAGGAGGAACACCGAUGGCGAAGGCAGAUCUCUGGGCCGUAACUGACGCUGAGGAGCGAAAGCAUGGGGAGCGAACAGG
rnacentral:rRNA from 1 species